AUUGAACGCUGGCGGCAUGCCUUACACAUGCAAGUCGAACGGCAGCACGGGUGCUUGCACCUGGUGGCGAGUGGCGCACGGGUGAGUAAUACAUCGGAACAUGUCCUGUAGUGGGGGAUAGCCCGGCGAAAGCCGGAUUACUACCGCAUACGAUCUACGGAUGAAAGCGGGGGACCUUCGGGCCUCGCGCUUUAGGGUUGGCCGAUGGCUGAUUAGCUAGUUGGUGGGGUAAAGGCCUACCAAGGCGACGAUCAGUAGCUGGUCUGAGAGGACGACCAGCCACACUGGGACUGAGACACGGCCCAGACUCCUACGGGAGGCAGCAGUGGGGAAUUUUGGACAAUGGGCGAAAGCCUGAUCCAGCAAUGCCGCGUGUGUGAAGAAGGCCUUCGGAUUGUAAAACACUUUUGUCCGGAAAGAAAUCCUUGGCCCUAAUACGGUCGGGGGAUGACGGUACCGGAAGAAUAAGCACCGGCUAACUACGUG
rnacentral:rRNA from 1 species